rnacentral:lncRNA from 1 species
UUUUUGUGCUUGAAUUGAUAUUUUUACAAUCUCAACAAAUCUUAGCUUAUAAAGGGAGACAUAUACAACUCCACAGCCAUAAACACCCAUCAUUAGGUGUUUUAAGGCUCCAUAAACUCCAACCAUUAUCACUUAUAACAACCUACUUAAGAGCUACUUAUGAUAGCCCUUUGGGCUGCUUAAAAUCUAUAUUUUUAGCUGAAAACUUCUUUUUGGGCUUUCAUUCACACAUUAUUUUUAACAAUCCCCUCAUGAAUGAAAAUUUCAUGCAAAUCGAUGUAGACUUGAGAAAGAGACGACGGAUAAUUCUUACAUAGGAUAGGGCUUUCAUUCACACAUUAUUUUUAACAAUCCGCUCAUGAAUGAAAAUUUCAUGCCAAUCG